rnacentral:rRNA from 1 species
GUAGGGACCAAGCGUUGUUCGGAUUUACUGGGCGUAAAGGGCGCGUAGGCGGCAAUUCAAGUCAUCUGUGAAAUCUCCGGGCUUAACUCGGAACGGUCAGAUGAUACUGCUUUGCUAGAGUGCGGAAGGGGCAAUCGGAAUUCUUGGUGUAGCGGUGAAAUGCGUAGAUAUCAAGAGGAACACCUGAGGUGAAGACGGGUUGCUGGGCCGACACUGACGCUGAUGCGCGAAAGCCAGGGGAGCAAACGGGAUUAGAUACCCCGGUAGUCCUGGCCCUAAACGAUGAAUACUUGGUGUCUGGAGUCUUUAAUGCUCCGGGUGCCGCCGCUAACGUUUUUAGUAUUCCGCCUGGGGAGUACGCUCGCAAGAGUG